GCGCGGGUGGUGGAAUUGGUAGACACGCUGGUCUCAGAAGCCAGAGCCGAAAGGUGUAGGGGUUCAAGUCCCCUCUCGCGCACCA
rnacentral:tRNA from 1 species